rnacentral:rRNA from 1 species
UUAAGCGACUAAGCGUACACGGUGGAUGCCCUGGCAGUCAGAGGCGAUGAAGGACGUGCUAAUCUGCGAAAAGCGCCGGCGAGGUGAUAUGAACCUUUGACCCGGCGAUGUCCGAAUGGGGAAACCCAGUGCAAUCCGUUGCACUAUCGUUAACUGAAUACAUAGGUUAACGAGGCGAACCGGGGGAACUGAAACAUCUAAGUACCCCGAGGAAAAGAAAUCAACCGAGAUUCCCCCAGUAGCGGCGAGCGAACGGGGAGCAGCCCGGAGUCUGAAUCAGCUUGUGUGUUAGUGGAACGGUCUGGAAAGUCCGACGGUACAGGGUGAUAGUCCCGUACACGAAAGCACACUUGCUGUGAACUCGAAGAGUAGGGCGGGACACGUGGUAUCCUGUCUGAAUAUGGGGGGACCAUCCUCCAAGGCUAAAUACUCCUGACUGACCGAUAGUGAACCAGUACCGUGAGGGAAAGGCGAAAAGAACCCCGGCGAGGGGAGUGAAAAAGAACCUGAAACCGUGUACGUACAAGCAGUGGGAGCCUCUUUAUGGGGUGACUGCGUACCUUUUGUAUAAUGGGUCAGCGACUUAUAUUCUGUAGCAAGGUUAACCGUAUAGGGGAGCCGAAGGGAAACCGAGUCUUAACUGGGCGUUAAGUUGCAGGGUAUAGACCCGAAACCCGGUGAUCUAGCCAUGGGCAGGUUGAAGGUUGGGUAACACUAACUGGAGGACCGAACCGACUAAUGUUGAAAAAUUAGCGGAUGACCUGUGGCUGGGGGUGAAAGGCCAAUCAAACCGGGAGAUAGCUGGUUCUCCCCGAAAGCUAUUUAGGUAGCGCCUCGUGAACUCAUCUUCGGGGGUAGAGCACUGUUUCGGCUAGGGGGCCAUCCCGGCUUACCAACCCGAUGCAAACUACGAAUACCGAAGAAUGUUAUCACGGGAGACACACGGCGGGUGCUAACGUCCGUCGUGAAGAGGGAAACAACCCAGACCGCCAGCUAAGGUCCCAAAGUCAUGGUUAAGUGGGAAACGAUGUGGGAAGGCACAGACAGCCAGGAUGUUGGCUUAGAAGCAGCCAUCAUUUAAAGAAAGCGUAAUAGCUCACUGGUCGAGUCGGCCUGCGCGGAAGAUGUAACGGGGCUAAACCAUGCACCGAAGCUGCGGCAGCGACGCUUAUGCGUUGUUGGGUAGGGGAGCGUUCUGUAAGCCGUUGAAGGUGUCCUGUGAGGGGUGCUGGAGGUAUCAGAAGUGCGAAUGCUGACAUAAGUAACGAUAAAGCGGGUGAAAAGCCCGCUCGCCGGAAGACCAAGGGUUCCUGUCCAACGUUAAUCGGGGCAGGGUGAGUCGACCCCUAAGGCGAGGCCGAAAGGCGUAGUCGAUGGGAAACAGGUUAAUAUUCCUGUACUUGGUGUUACUGCGAAGGGGGGACGGAGAAGGCUAUGUCAGCCGGGCGACGGUUGUCCCGGUUUAAGCAUGUAGGCGGAGGUUCCAGGUAAAUCCGGUACCUUGUUAACGCUGAGGUGUGAUGACGAGGCACUACGGUGCUGAAGUGAUAAAUGCCCUGCUUCCAGGAAAAGCCUCUAAGCAUCAGGUAACACGAAAUCGUACCCCAAACCGACACAGGUGGUCAGGUAGAGAAUACCAAGGCGCUUGAGAGAACUCGGGUGAAGGAACUAGGCAAAAUGGUGCCGUAACUUCGGGAGAAGGCACGCUGAUGUGUAGGUGAAGUCCCUGCGGACGGAGCUGAAAUCAGUCGAAGAUACCAGCUGGCUGCAACUGUUUAUUAAAAACACAGCACUGUGCAAACACGAAAGUGGACGUAUACGGUGUGACGCCUGCCCGGUGCCGGAAGGUUAAUUGAUGGGGUUAGCGGCAACGCGAAGCUCUUGAUCGAAGCCCCGGUAAACGGCGGCCGUAACUAUAACGGUCCUAAGGUAGCGAAAUUCCUUGUCGGGUAAGUUCCGACCUGCACGAAUGGCGUAAUGAUGGCCAGGCUGUCUCCACCCGAGACUCAGUGAAAUUGAACUCGCUGUGAAGAUGCAGUGUACCCGCGGCAAGACGGAAAGACCCCGUGAACCUUUACUAUAGCUUGACACUGAACACUGGUCCUUGAUGUGUAGGAUAGGUGGGAGGCUUUGAAGCGUGGACGCCAGUCUGCGUGGAGCCAACCUUGAAAUACCACCCUUUAAUGGCUGGUGUUCUAACGUAGACCCGUAAUCCGGGUUGCGGACAGUGUCUGGUGGGUAGUUUGACUGGGGCGGUCUCCUCCCAAAGAGUAACGGAGGAGCACGAAGGUUGGCUAAUCCUGGUCGGACAUCAGGAGGUUAGUGCAAUGGCAUAAGCCAGCUUGACUGCGAGCGUGACGGCGCGAGCAGGUGCGAAAGCAGGUCAUAGUGAUCCGGUGGUUCUGAAUGGAAGGGCCAUCGCUCAACGGAUAAAAGGUACUCCGGGGAUAACAGGCUGAUACCGCCCAAGAGUUCAUAUCGACGGCGGUGUUUGGCACCUCGAUGUCGGCUCAUCACAUCCUGGGGCUGAAGUAGGUCCCAAGGGUAUGGCUGUUCGCCAUUUAAAGUGGUACGCGAGCUGGGUUUAGAACGUCGUGAGACAGUUCGGUCCCUAUCUGCCGUGGGCGCUGGAGAAUUGAGGGGGGCUGCUCCUAGUACGAGAGGACCGGAGUGGACGCAUCACUGGUGUUCGGGUUGUCAUGCCAAUGGCACUGCCCGGUAGCUAAAUGCGGAAGAGAUAAGUGCUGAAAGCAUCUAAGCACGAAACUUGCCCCGAGAUGAGUUCUCCCUGAGACCUUGAGUCUCCUGAAGGAACGUUGAAGACGACGACGUUGAUAGGUCGGGUGUGUAAGCGCAGCGAUGCGUUGAGCUAACCGAUACUAAUGAACCGUGAGGCUUAACCUU